AGGAGACAUAACAUGAAAAACCCACUUUUUUAUCCAUUAACACAGUGUGUUUCACAUUUUAAGUGUCUAAGUGAGCAAAAAGGCUUAUAUUAUUCACUGGAGUUGCUAUUUAGAUAUUUAAUAAUUAAGUUUUGGGCAUAUUUGUCCACCCGUUCAGUUUUUACAUUAUCUAUUACAUCAGUAAUUAAUUUAGUCAGGAUAACUACCAAAUAUGGUAAUGGCCCUCGGCUAAACACAGAGCCAAUCCGCCAUUUUUUCUUCUCGCUAAGAUUUUUUGUAGUCCUAUUGGAAAAAUGCAGAAUGUCUGGUUAUUUUAGCCACACACAGCUCAAAACUGUUCCUCGUUUUAAGGAAGGGUGGUGUGGCAGUAUUUAAACCCAGGAGCUGAUGACACUACUGCUAAAAAAACACAGAAGAAAAAGUAGUGUGUGUGUGUGUGCGCGCGCGUGCGCGUGGUUCGUUCGUUCGUGUCUCCAGGCUAGUAAGUACUGAGGGCUUCAUCUAUCUAAAAGGAGUCAUUUGCAUCUGAAUGUGGCAGCACCGGGACACAGCAGCAGAGCGAGUCCACAUCCAGAAGACUGGAGCCGUGUUUCACUGACAGGCUGUCAGCCUAACGCCCUGAUGAGCUCAGCUGGGACAAACUGGUCUGAUGUUUAGGAACACAGAACGUUCAGAUGUUGGCGUUUCACGUCACCUACUGAGGAAGGAGACCCACCAGUGAAGAGAUGGUAGCUGGACCAGACCAAAAAUAUGACGAUGACAUCAUGGAACUGGUCUUUGGAAAAGUUUUCCCUGAACCAACUCCGUUUCUAGAUGAGGUAGAGAAGAUCUGCAUCUCACCAACUCUCUGGUCUCAGUAUUCAGACAACGGAGGUCUCCCACUGUUAUCCAGGACCAGUUUGAAGCCCACAUACUGCCCCUCCCUCAUCAUCAGGAAACAUCAAUCCGUAUCCUGAGGACAACAGAAGACGGCAGGAGGACAGGAACUCUGAGACCUAGAUACCACCAGCACCGAGACACAAAGCACCUGUGUGCACAACGCCUGUUUAACUACUAAAGCCUGUUUAUUAUAUUGUUCUACUUAUUUGCUGUGAGGUUAAUACUUAGAAAAUUUGUAUAUUAAUGUAAACAAUUAAAAAAAAUCACUGAUUGUA